rnacentral:rRNA from 1 species
UACGUAGGGGGCGAGCGUUGUCCGGAUUUAUUGGGCGUAAAGCGCGCGCAGGCGGUUCGUUAAGUCCGAUGUGAAAGCUCCCGGCUCAACUGGGAGAGGUCUUCGGAUACUGGCGAACUCGAGGGAGGCAGAGGAAGGUGGAAUUCCGGGUGUAGUGGUGAAAUGCGUAGAGAUCCGGAGGAACACCAGUGGCGAAGGCGGCCUUCUGGGCCUUUCCUGACGCUGAGGCGCGAAGGCGUGGGGAGCGAACCGG